rnacentral:tmRNA from 1 species
GUCACCUAUCGGGGCUCCCACCUCGGAUAGCAAUGGCGUCGAAAUGUGGGAUGCUGAGUUGGGUUACCGACUGACUCUUAAGAUUUAGGUAAACCUGUUAGGUUAUAGGUUCCGAUGACUUGCCUAACAGUAAACCAUCGGAUGCACUCGGAGAAGCUGUUUGAUAGCUUGGAAGGACCGGGGUUCGACUCCCCGCACCUCCACCA